AUUGAACGCUGGCGGCAGGCCUAACACAUGCAAGUCGAGCGGAUGAAGGGAGCUUGCUCCUGGAUUCAGCGGCGGACGGGUGAGUAAUGCCUAGGAAUCUGCCUGGUAGUGGGGGAUAACGUCCGGAAACGGGAGCUAAUACCGCAUACGUCCUGAGGGAGAAAGUGGGGGACCUUCGGACCUCACGCUAUCAGAUGAGCCUAGGUCGGAUUAGCUAGUUGGUGGGGUAAAGGCCUACCAAGGCGACGAUCCGUAACUGGUCUGAGAGGAUGAUCAGUCACACUGGAACUGAGACACGGUCCAGACUCCUACGGGAGGCAGCAGUGGGGAAUAUUGGACAAUGGGCGAAAGCCUGAUCCAGCCAUGCCGCGUGUGUGAAGAAGGUCUUCGGAUUGUAAAGCACUUUAAGUUGGGAGGAAGGGCAGUAAGUUAAUACCUUGCUGUUUUGACGUUACCAACAGAAUAAGCACCGGCUAACUUCGUG
rnacentral:rRNA from 1 species